rnacentral:rRNA from 1 species
CCUACGGGUGGCAGCAGUGGGGAAUAUUGGGCAAUGGGCGCAAGCCUGACCCAGCAACGCCGCGUGAAGGAAGAAGGCUUUCGGGUUGUAAACUUCUUUUUAGAGGGAAGAGCAGAAGACGGUACCUCUUGAAUAAGCCACGGCUAACUACGUGCCAGCAGCCGCGGUAAUUCGGAGGUGGCACGCGUUGUCCGGAUUUACUGGGUGUAACGGGCGUGCAGCCGGGAAGACAAGUCAGAUGUUAAAUCCCGGGGCUCAACCGCGGAACUGCAUUUGAAACUGUUUUUCUUGAGUACCGGAGAGGUCAUCGGAAUUCGUGGUGUAGCGGUGAAAUGCGUAGAUAUAAGGAAGAACACCAGUGGCGAAGGCGGAUGACUGGACGGCAACUGACGGUGAGGCGCGAAAGCGUGGGGAGCAAACAGGAUUAGAUACCCGAGUAGUC